rnacentral:misc_RNA from 1 species
AGAAGAAGAAGAAGAAGAAGAGCGCUAUGAAGAAGCAGAAGUGGAUGGAGCCUCAGAAGAGGAAGAGGACGCUGAGGAGCCAAAGCAAAAGACCAAGGAGUUUGGAGGCAGUCUCAAGCGAGCGGGGAUUGAAUCAGAAGAGGAAUCCCCUCCAAGAAAGAUCCCAACCCACCGACGAAUGGCAGUUGUUUAUGAUAGUGAUGAGGAAUGAAUAUUUCCUGGGGUUGAUUAUGGUAUAAUUUUUUAUUUCAUCCAUUAUUGUUCAUAAUGUUUGAUACAUUUUUUUUUAUAUAUAUAUUUUUUAGGGGAGAUACUAAAUGCUUGUAUGAACCAAGAGUUGGUUUUUACUCAAGUUUGUCUCGGUGGGAGUAAUCAUUACUAGUUUUGGACAUUUUCUCCUUGUGCUUUGUUACUGUGAAUUAGCUAGUUUUUUCAUAUUGAUUAUCAUGGAAUGCCCCAUUUUGGUUGUCCAGUCUGAUUCAGUGUUUUUAAUCUCUAGGAUAUUUUUAUUGAAUUCAAGUCUUAUGAUAAUGACCAUCCAAACGGUCUAAUAUUAUGUAGUUGAGAGGUUUUUAAUGUGGUCCAAGGGUUUUAUGCAGUUUAAAACCUUGUAUGCGAAUACUCGAGUGGUUUUGAUGCUCGAAGACCGAGUUUUUAUUUGGUAUUGAUUAAGUGUAUUUUUAUUUAGUUUUGGGUAAACAGUUUUUGGAUUAGCUUUUUAUAAGUUGGGGUCAGCUCCAAUACUAAUUCAAUG